rnacentral:lncRNA from 1 species
ACUUCUUCUAUGCGAAGAGAUGCUUCUAUUAGAUCCUUCACCAUCUUUUUAAUUCCAUCUUCAUCUUUGUUGCCUUUUACAGCCAUUCUAUCUGCAACAUUGAUGCACCCUUCAACUCGAUGUAGUUCUUCAUUCAGCUCUUCAACUUCUUUGGGUAAGUUUUUCAGCAGUUUUCUUACUUCCACUAAAUGUGGAAGGAAUUUCGCUAUCUGGUCACACAUUUUUGGUCUAGCUCUGAUUUUUGGAGUAUGAUAAGAGGAACAUAUUUUCUUGAUUGUAUGGCCAAAACUAUAAGGUAUGGAGGAAAGAGCAAUAAUAGUGGAAGCAAUUUCUUUGGAAGCUACCUCCUACUACAUUUUCUGGUGUGUAUGGUGAGACUAUGAGAGAGUAACAUGUCAUAAUGUGCAUCAUUAUAUGACAAAAAGUACAUG